rnacentral:lncRNA from 10 species
UGUGACCUGAGUUUGAGAAGCAUGGACAUACAUUUGCUCACAUACUAAUAGCAGAAAAUAAGUACAGAAAAGAAGAUUAAUAUCAGAUUGUGGUUGGCCUUGCUUUCCACAUUGUGGAAACUUUGUUCUUUAGGUCUUUGCAAUAAAUCUUGCUGCUGCUCACUCUUUGGGGCUGCACUACCGUUAUAAGCUGUAACACUCCCUGCAAAGGUCUGCAGCUUCACUCCUGAGGCCAGCAAGACCAUGAACCCACAGGGAGGAAUAAACAACUCUGCAAGGGAGGAACGAACAACUCCAGCUGCACCGCCUUAAGAAUUGUAACACUCACCGCGAGGGUCUGCAGCUGCUUUCUUGAAGUCGGUGAGACCAAGAACCCACCAAUUCCAGACAUAAUAGCAGUGGGGUGCUGUGGGAGUAGGGGUGAACUGGAGACACUACAAACUGGAGAAGCUGGAAUAAGGAAGAACAUUUAUUGGGUGUAUGUAGAAAAGGAAGGACAAUAUCUCAGGAAGGCAUCAGAUUUUGGUGUACCAUUUAAUUAAACCAGCUAUGAAACAAGAGUGGCCCGGAUCUUAUUUGGUUGUAAGUCCACCUUAAUUGACAGGUCAGAGGCUGUAAAACUUGAAGAAAGGAGCCAAGAUCGCCAGAAAUACAGUGGUGGUAUUAUAGCAAACACCUGCAAGAGGAGGAACAGUGGCCAACCCACUCAAUCAGCUGUUGCCAUGUGGGACCUGUGAAACCUAGCUACCAUGCAAAAAGUCUGACUGACUCGAGAUUACCAUAUUGUGAGGAAGUCCAAGCUAACCACAGGGAGGGGAACUGAGAAACCUAAACAACAGUGAAAACUGAAGUCCGAGAUAGAUGGCCCAAGCUGAGCCAUCAUGGACAAGCCUGUCCAAGUCACAAAGGCCCCAUGUCUGGAAUGCCAUUGAACUUGAAUUUGCCAGGGGAAGAUUUCUGACUCUCACAAAGGCCACCUGAGCCCUUGCUUG